GACGAACCGUGCGAACGUUAUUCGGAAUCACUGGGCUUAAAGCGCGUGUAGGCGGGACGGCACGUCGGUCGCUGAAAUCCCCCGGCUUAACCGGGGAACGGGCGUCGAUACGACCGUCCUGGAGGGGCGUAGGGGGACCUGGAACUUCCGGUGGAGCGGUGAAAUGCGUUGAGAUCGGAAGGAACGCCCGUGGCGAAAGCGAGGUCCUGGACGCCUACUGACGCUGAGACGCGAAAGCCAGGGGAGCAAAGCGGG
rnacentral:rRNA from 1 species